rnacentral:rRNA from 1 species
AGCGAACGCUGGCGGCAGGCCUAACACAUGCAAGUCGAACGAACUCUUCGGAGUUAGUGGCGGACGGGUGAGUAACACGUGGGAACGUGCCUUUUGGUUCGGAAUAACUCAGGGAAACUUGUGCUAAUACCGAAUGUGCCCUUCGGGGGAAAGAUUUAUCGCCAUUAGAGCGGCCCGCGUCUGAUUAGCUAGUUGGUGAGGUAACGGCUCACCAAGGCGACGAUCAGUAGCUGGUCUGAGAGGAUGACCAGCCACACUGGGACUGAGACACGGCCCAGACUCCUACGGGAGGCAGCAGUGGGGAAUCGUGCGCAAUGGGCGAAAGCCUGACGCAGCCAUGCCGCGUGAAUGAUGGAGGUCUUAGGAUUGUAAAAUUCUUUCACCGGGGACGAUAAUGACGGUACCCGGAGAAGAAGCCCCGGCUAACUUCGUG